rnacentral:piRNA from 1 species
CAAUACUGUAUUAUCUAGGGACUGAU